rnacentral:ncRNA from 1 species
AUACGUGUAGGGUGGAGAUGCACAACCGUCGGACCGUGUAGCACUAGGCUUAUAUUUAGACGCUUCAUCUCGUCCACAGUCGCCGGUUGAUUCCUCCUCCUGACCUUAGCUUUUGUUGAAGUGGUGCCUUUGUCACCGCCGCUAACAAGCAGGACGCGUCCGUCGCGAUACCGGCCCAAUUGGCCGAUUUAGCUGGACACUGGAGUGGCCAACCACUCUUGACGCACCUGACACCGACCGUGAGAAGUCGUGUGUGCCGAACGCCGUUUCCGGCAGCCCGGAAACCGA